UUUGCAUAUCCAUUAAAGCGGAGGAAAAGAAACCAACAGGGAUUGCCUUAGUAACGGCGAGUGAAGCGGCAAAAGCUCAAAUUUGAAAUCUGGCACUUUCAGUGUCCGAGUUGUAAUUUGAAGAAGGUAACUCUGGAGUUGGCCCUUGUCUAUGUUCCUUGGAACAGGACGUCACAGAGGGUGAGAAUCCCGUGCGAUGGGGUGUCCAAUUCUAUGUAGAGUGCUUUCGAAGAGUCGAGUUGUUUGGGAAUGCAGCUCUAAGUGGGUGGUAAAUUCCAUCUAAAGCUAAAUAUUGGCGAGAGACCGAUAGCGAACAAGUACAGUGAUGGAAAGAUGAAAAGAACUUUGAAAAGAGAGUGAAAAAGUACGUGAAAUUGUUGAAAGGGAAGGGCUUGAGAUCAGACUCGGUAUUUUGCGAUCCUAUCCUUCGUGGAGAGGUUUCACUUGCAGCUUACCGGGCCAGCAUCGGUUUGGAUGGUAGGAUAAUGACAUUGGAAUGUGGCUUUUCGGAGUGUUAUAGCCUUUGUUGAUACUGCCUAUCUAGACCGAGGACUGCGUCUUUGACUAGGAUGCUGGCAUAAUGAUCUUAAGCCGCCCGUCUGG
rnacentral:rRNA from 2 species